GCUCAACCGAGGAAGUGCUUCGAAAACUGGUAAACUUGAGUGCAGAAGAGGAAAGUGGAACUCCAUGUGUAGCGGUGGAAUGCGUAGAUAUAUGGAAGAACACCAGUGGCGAAGGCGGCUUUCUGGUCUGUAACUGACGCUGAGAUUCGAAAGCAUGGGUAGCAAACAGGAUUAGAUACCCUGGUAGUCCAUGCCGUAAACGAUGAGUGCUAAGUGUUGGAGGGUUUCCGCCCUUCAGUGCUGCAGCUAACGCAUUAAGCACUCCGCCUGGGGAGUACGAUCGCAAGAUUGAAACUCAAAGGAAUUGACGGGGGCCCGCACAAGCGGUGGAGCAUGUGGUUUAAUUCGAAGCAACGCGAAGAACCUUACCAGGUCUUGACAUACCAUGAAAAGCUUAGAGAUGAGUCUUUCCCUUCGGGGACAUGGAUACAGGUGGUGCAUGGUUGUCGUCAGCUCGUGUCGUGAGAUGUUGGGUUAAGUCCCGCAACGAGCGCAACCCUUAUUAUCAGUUGCCAGCAUUCAGUUGGGCACUCUGGUGAGACUGCCGGUGAUAAACCGGAGGAAGGUGGGGACGACGUCAAAUCAUCAUGCCCCUUAUGACCUGGGCUACACACGUGCUACGAUGGUCGGUACAACG
rnacentral:rRNA from 1 species